rnacentral:rRNA from 1 species
UACGAAGGGGGCUAGCGUUGCUCGGAAUCACUGGGCGUAAAGCGCACGUAGGCGGACUCUUAAGUCAGGGGUGAAAUCCUGGAGCUCAACUCCAGAACUGCCUUUGAUACUGGGAGUCUUGAGUUCGGGAGAGGUGAGUGGAACUGCGAGCGUAGAGGUGAAAUUCGUAGAUAUUCGCAAGAACACCAGUGGCGAAGGCGGCGCUCUGGACCGAGACUGACGCUGAGGCGCGAAAGCGUGGGGAGCAAACAGG